UGAGGAAUAUUGGUCAAUGGGGGCAAGCCUGAACCAGCCAUCCCGCGUGCAGGAAGACGGCGCUACGCGUUGUAAACUGCUUUUCCAGGGAGAGAAACUUGCGCACGUGUUGCGCAAUUGACGGUACCCUAGGAAUAAGCAUCGGCUAACUCCGUGCCAGCAGCCGCGGUAAUACGGAGGAUGCGAGCGUUAUCCGGAUUCAUUGGGUUUAAAGGGUGCGUAGGCGGACUAUUAAGUCAGUGGUGAAAUCCUGCAGCUUAACUGCAGAACUGCCAUUGAUACUGAUAGCCUUGAGUUUGGUUAAGGUAGGCGGAAUGUGUAAUGUAGCGGUGAAAUGCUUAGAUAUUACACAGAACACCAAUUGCGUAGGCAGCUUACUGAGCCGACACUGACGCUGAGGCACGAAAGCGUGGGGAUCGAACAG
rnacentral:rRNA from 1 species